rnacentral:rRNA from 1 species
UGGGGAAUCUUGCACAAUAGGCGGAAGCCUGAUGCAGCGACGCCGCGUGGGGGAUGACGGCCUUCGGGUUGUAAACUCCUUUCGCCAGGGACGAAGCCGUGAGGUGACGGUACCUGGAUAAGAAGCACCGGCUAACUACGUGCCAGCAGCCGCGGUAAUACGUAGGGUGCGAGCGUUGUCCGGAAUUACUGGGCGUAAAGAGCUCGUAGGUGGUUUGUCGCGUCGUCUGUGAAAUUCCGGGGCUUAACUCCGGGCGUGCAGGCGAUACGGGCAUAACUUGAGUGCUGUAGGGGAGACUGGAAUUCCUGGUGUAGCGGUGAAAUGCGCAGAUAUCAGGAGGAACACCGAUGGCGAAGGCAGGUCUCUGGGCAGUAACUGACGCUGAGGAGCGAAAGCAUGGGUAGCGAACAGG